AAAAAAAAAAAAAAAAAAGAACUCCUCCCUCCCUUUCUUCCCUCCCCUCCCACAUCAUCCUUCACCAUUGUAAGGCGAUCCACUUUAGCCUCUAUUAUGGUUGUUUUGUGUUUUUCAUUUAUUUGCUAGGAAACACCUGCAUAAUGUGUUUUAUAUGUAGAGUUGCAAUUUUUUUUAAUAAUGUUUUUGUAGCAACACCUAACAAAUGCAAUCUACUUUUGGAAACUAAAAUUCAUAUUUUUCUACCUUUUACAUUGGUGGUUUCAACUUUCAAGGCAUCCGGGAGAAAAUUUUGCGGCUGUCUCCUUUACCUUUAACACCCUUCAUUCCUUUUCUAUUUCCUUAGUGCUGUCUGUUUCACCAUACUACCCUGCACAACAUUGAAUGUGAUCUCCAAGCAUAUUUAAGUAUUUAACUUAAUUGACAUUCUGUUGAAGGAUUCAACUUUUGGUAUUAUUACAAAUCACCUCAUCCUCACAGUCUCUCUUUAUCAUGGUUGUAUAUAGCUGAAAUAAAAAUCCAGUUGCUGUAUCUUCUUUUCAUGCAGAGCCUUGGAGAACUGAUUACUAGCAAUUUUGUGUACUUCCAUUUCCAUGCGAGUUGCUAGUUGAUCCCCAUCCUUGGCAUUAAGAAACAGCUCUAGAUAUAAACUUUAUCUUGGUGCCAGUUGUACUCAUGCCUAUGUAUAGAACAGAUGGGGAGGUCUCUCUCUCUAUGAUAAUACUCGAUUAUGUUCGCAAAAAAUAAUGAAAAAGUGAAUAUAGCAAUUAAUAGAAUUGUGCAUGUAUGUGUUUAUUUUGAAGUUCUUAAUGGGCAACAUAAUUCAUAAAUAACUUCUUUUUCGCAUAAUAUUUUAUAUUCACUUUAAUUAUUCUGUGUUGUGCAUAUAUGUUCUAAUUAUUUUAGUUUUAUUGUACUUUUGUUAUUUCUCUGGGCAAUGGGAUCAGGCAUCUGUGGAAGAACCUCCUCCUGAAAAACCAUCUAAGAAACCUGUGACAAAACCUACAGAAAAGAAAGGCAAAACUGCAAAGGAAGAGCCUCAGCCUCUAGAUCCUGUUGCUGAGAAACUUCGCCAACAAAGGUACCAAAUUAAUAUUUUCAUUUCUGCUUAUCUUGGGGACUCGUUUAUAUCAGUUUUAAUUUUAAUAUAGGGGACAAUUUUAUUAUGCAAAUAUAAAAGCAUUAAUAAACUGAAAAAUUUAGCAUUAUUAUCCACUGUCAUAACAUUUAGAUUUGAAAUUUAGAAUGUUUUGGUGAAUAGAAUUGAAUUAGUUUAGGGUUUCAAUCGUGGCUGGAAGCAAUGUUUUGAUGGCUGCCUUCUCCAGGAAUUUAGUAAUGAACAGAUAAGUUUAGCAUUAUUAUCCUCUGUCAUGACAUCGAGACUUGAAUUUUGGAAUGUUUUGGUGGAUGGGAGCAAAUAGGUUUAGGGUUUCUAUUGUGGUUGGAAGCAAUAUCUUGAUUAUACUUAACAACAACAACAACUACUACUAUUGCUGCUGCUAAGCCUUAAUGCCAAACUAGUUGGAGUAGGCUAUAUGAAUCCUUUUUUGUCAUUCAGCUCUGUUAGACACUAGGUCCGCCGGUUUAUUUUUAUUUUCCCGUGGUUUCUGGUAAGCAAGAGAUUCUUUUUGAAAGUUUGGCAACAAUGCAGGUUAGUAGAAGAAGCUGAUUACAAAUCUACUACGGAACUGUUUGCUAAGAGAGGCGAUGAGAAGACACUAGAUAACUUCAUUCCCAAAUCUGAGAGUGACUUCUUGGAAUAUGCAGAACUUAUUUCACAUAAGCUUCGUCCAUAUGAGAAAAGUUUCCAUUAUAUUGGUUUACUCAAGGCAGUAAUGAGAUUGUCAAUGACUUCUUUGAAAGCAGCAGAUGCAAAAGAUGUUGCAUCUUCUGUAACUGCAAUUGCAAAUGAAAAGCUGAAGGCAGAGAAAGAAGCCAAUACUAAAAAGAAGA
rnacentral:misc_RNA from 1 species